rnacentral:lncRNA from 1 species
AAAAGAUACUCGAACUCAGAUAUAUUUGAAUAUUACAUAUCAUAAAGCUAGCAAAGGAGGUUGCAAAAAUAAUAUAUAAAUUUGUUUAGGGAGUACAAUUUGGUUAUAGAAGAGAAAGAAGAAAGUGAAGAUGUUUAUUUAUUUUCUAGAAAGAUGAGAAAGACAGUUUAUGGUAGAAAAUAGUGUCAGGCUAGGGACACGGAGCAUAGUGGUUUUUUGGUCAGUGUGUCGGAGGCGGCCUAGGAUGAGGGUUAGGGAUUCCAAACCCCGGGAUAUCGAUAGGAGGCGACCGAACAGGGUUUGAUGGGGUUCGUGAGACAAUGGCAGCAAGACGACGUACUGGCUUCAUAUGGUGCACAAGUGAAGCUUCACUGCUCAACUCAGCAAGUGUUGUUGUAGGCUUCGAAAUCAGUAACAUAAGCAACAAAACUAGCAUCCCACAGUUUGUCAUCUUCUUAUUCAUAACCUACCAAUUUUAUUUAUUCUUC